GGACUGUGAUAGUGGUGAUUUAUAACAAAUAUAUUUGAUCUUUGUCCCAGGUCUGGCACAGAGCUCCUAAAACCCUUGGAAUUUUCUAAGUGGUGAGAGCUAAGGUGUCUUUUGUUAUGUUAAUGACAUUCUUAGACAGAACCUAAGAAUGGGAGCUGGUUGCCAAGGAACCAACCAAGAAUAUAGGAGUGGAACUUUCAGUACCACCCUCUGACAUCCAGACUGCACAAAGGAGCUGGAAGUUGAAUCAUUCACUUCUAGUGAAUGACUUAAUCAAUCAUGCCUCCGUAGAUCGUGUCAGGAUUGAGUUGAAUUGUAGGACAUGCAGCUGGUGUCUGGAGAAUUGCCUGUUGGUGUGGGAACCUCCCCACAACUAGACACACACACAUUGGGAUUUGGUGAUCAGGAUUACCUUUUACAGGUUAAGCAACUGGUCCAGGACUGCAUUUUCAAGAGAAACCCCAGAACUGACCACUAUAGUUCCUUCUCCAGUGUCAGAGAGAUCUCCAGAUAAAGAUGCACAGAAGAGUGCCACCUUGAAGGUGUCUGAUUUUUUGAUAGGACUACCUGAAGCAGACGAUGGCAUAGUGUGCUAUAGACUGAGAAGGUGGUGUGAAGAUGUGCAAAGAAGAGGUGAAGAGGAGGAGGGGAUGUUAUUCAGUGUUAUUUCGGUUACCACUCCUCCCCAUUUAAAGGACUGUAACCAUGGCAACUGGGCCCAACUAAAGAGAAGGCAAUGAUGGCUAGUUUUCUCCCUGCAAUAAACUACAGUUAUCCUUUUUUACAAGA